AGAACUUCCGUUCAGAGAGACUAAAGCGAGCUGGCAGGGCGGCUGAUGAAGAUGUGAUGGACAAAGACCAGAUCCUCAUGGAGAAGGAAGCUGAGCUGAGACGCAUGCAGCAGAUGAUCGCUCAGAUGCAAGCUCAGAUGAAGAUGAAACCAGGAGACGACUAAGUGUGUGUUUGUGUUUAUGUGUCUAUCUGUGUGUUGUGGGAACCGGAAGUGCCAUCUGACUGGAGUUACAUUAUCCUACCCAUUUCUAAACACUAUUUGCUUGUCCAAUCCCUCAUGUUUAUCAGAUUAAUGGAGCGUAACGUUAAUGUCGUCUAAUUGAUGUAACCAAUCACUCACGAUCACAGCUCCACCCAUAUGAAUAACUGCAACACUGAAACAAACAGUCCAUUAUCAUGUCAUUUAAUCUAUCGGGUUAGACGCUGUUAAUAAUUUAUGGUUUCAUUGACAAUGUUCAGCAGAGCACUAAUUCCAAGUAUGGGUCACCAUACUUGGCCACAUGUCACGUCACUUUCA